CAGUAGCCGCGGUAACACGAAGGGUGCAAGCGUUAAUCGGAAUUACUGGGCGUAAAGCGUGCGUAGGCGGUUUGUUAAGUCUGCUGUGAAAUCCCCGGGCUCAACCUGGGAAUGGCAGUGGAUACUGGCUCGCUAGAGUGUGUCAGAGGAUGGUGGAAUUCCCGGUGUAGCGGUGAAAUGCGUAGAGAUCGGGAGGAACAUCAGCGGCGAAGGCGGCCAUCUGGGACAACACUGACGCUGAGGCACGAAAGCGUGGGGAGCAAACAGGAUUAGAUACCCCGGUAGUCCCUGUCUCUUAUAC
rnacentral:rRNA from 1 species